rnacentral:rRNA from 1 species
AAAUUGAAGAGUUUGAUCAUGGCUCAGAUUGAACGCUGGCGGCAGGCCUAACACAUGCAAGUCGAGCGGAAACGAGUUAUCUGAACCUUCGGGGAACGAUAACGGCGUCGAGCGGCGGACGGGUGAGUAAUGCCUAGGAAAUUGCCCUGAUGUGGGGGAUAACCAUUGGAAACGAUGGCUAAUACCGCAUAAUGCCUACGGGCCAAAGAGGGGGACCUUCGGGCCUCUCGCGUCAGGAUAUGCCUAGGUGGGAUUAGCUAGUUGGUGAGGUAAGGGCUCACCAAGGCGACGAUCCCUAGCUGGUCUGAGAGGAUGAUCAGCCACACUGGAACUGAGACACGGUCCAGACUCCUACGGGAGGCAGCAGUGGGGAAUAUUGCACAAUGGGCGCAAGCCUGAUGCAGCCAUGCCGCGUGUAUGAAGAAGGCCUUCGGGUUGUAAAG